CAAUAGCGUAUAUUAAAGUUGUUGCAGUUAAAAAGCUCGUAGUUGGAUAUGUGGUUUGCGGUGGGUUCCGGGCACUUGUUGUCCGAGUAACUUGCCGCUGCCAUCCUUGGGUGGAACCUGUGUGGCAUUAGGUUGUCGUGCAGGGGAUGCCCAUCGUUUACUGUGAAAAAAUUAGAGUGUUCAAAGCAGGCUUAUGCCGUUGAAUAUAUUAGCAUGGAAUAAUAAGAUAGGACUUUGUCGCUAUUUUGUUGGUUUGCGCGAUAAGGUAAUGAUUAAUAGGGACAGUUGGGGGUAUUCGUAUUCCAUUGUCAGAGGUGAAAUUCUUGGAUUUUUGGAAGACGAACUACUGCGAAAGCAUUUACCAAGGAUGUUUUCAUUAA
rnacentral:rRNA from 1 species